rnacentral:rRNA from 1 species
AAACCGACACAGGUGGUCAGGUAGAGAAUACCAAGGCGCUUGAGAGAACUCGGGUGAAGGAACUAGGCAAAAUGGUGCCGUAACUUCGGGAGAAGGCACGCUGAUGUGUAGGUGAAGCCCCUGCGGGCGGAGCUGAAAUCAGUCGAAGAUACCAGCUGGCUGCAACUGUUUAUUAAAAACACAGCACUGUGCAAACACGAAAGUGGACGUAUACGGUGUGACGCCUGCCCGGUGCCGGAAGGUUAAUUGAUGGGG